rnacentral:rRNA from 1 species
ACCCUUUAAUGUUUGAUGUUCUAACGUGGACCCGUAAUCCGGGUUGCGGACAGUGUCUGGUGGGUAGUUUGACUGGGGCGGUCUCCUCCUAAAGAGUAACGGAGGAGCACGAAGGUUGGCUAAUCCUGGUCGGACAUCAGGAGGUUAGUGCAAUGGCAUAAGCCAGCUUGACUGCGAGCGUGACGGCGCGAGCAGGUGCGAAAGCAGGUCAUAGUGAUCCGGUGGUUCUGAAUGGAAGGGCCAUCGCUCAACGGAUAAAAGGUACUCCGGGGAUAACAGGCUGAUACCGCCCAAGAGUUCAUAUCGACGGCGGUGUUUGGCACCUCGAUGUCGGCUCAUCACAUCCUGGGGCUGAAGUAGGUCCCAAGGGUAUGGCUGUUCGCCAUUUAAAGUGGUACGCGAGCUGGGUUUAGAACGUCGUGAGACAGUUCGGUCCCUAUCUGCCGUGGGCGCUGGAGAACUGAGGGGGGCUGCUCCUAGUACGAGAGGACCGGAGUGGACGCAUCACUGGUGUUCGGGUUGUCAUGCCAAUGGCACUGCCCGGUAGCUAAAUGCGGAAGAGAUAAGUGCUGAAAGCAUCUAAGCACGAAACUUGCCCCGAGAUGAGUUCUCCCUGAGACUUAGAGUCUCCUGAAGGA